ACUUGCCAAGUCUGAAAAAGUACUAAAGAAAAAGUUAUUGUCAUUAGAAAAGGAAAUGAAAACAAUGAAAUUAGAAAAUGACCAGUUACAAUCAGAAAAAGAAAAAGUAAUUGCUUUGGGCAAAAGUAAAAUAAGACAGCUACAAGAAAAUGUAAAGAUGUCAAAAAGAACUGUUGCUUAUGGUGGACCUCGUCAUCUGACUAUUGCACACCUUGCUUAUGUAGAUGAGUUACU